rnacentral:rRNA from 1 species
GUCUGGAAAGGCGCGCGAUACAGGGUGACAGCCCCGUACACAAAAAUGCACAUGCUGUGAGCUCGAUGAGUAGGGCGGGACACGUGGUAUCCUGUCUGAAUAUGGGGGGACCAUCCUCCAAGGCUAAAUACUCCUGACUGACCGAUAGUGAACCAGUACCGUGAGGGAAAGGCGAAAAGAACCCCGGCGAGGGGAGUGAAAAAGAACCUGAAACCGUGUACGUACAAGCAGUGGGAGCCUCUUAAUGGGGUGACUGCGUACCUUUUGUAUAAUGGGUCAGCGACUUAUAUUCUGUAGCAAGGUUAACCGAAUAGGGGAGCCGAAGGGAAACCGAGUCUUAACUGGGCGUUAAGUUGCAGGGUAUAGACCCGAAACCCGGUGAUCUAGCCAUGGGCAGGUUGAAGGUUGGGUAACACUAACUGGAGGACCGAACCGACUAAUGUUGAAAAAUUAGCGGAUGACUUGUGGCUGGGGGUGAAAGGCCAAUCAAACCGGGAGAUAGCUGGUUCUCCCCGAAAGCUAUUUAGGUAGCGCCUCGUGAAUUCAUCUCCGGGGGUAGAGCACUGUUUCGGCAAGGGGGUCAUCCCGACUUACCAACCCGAUGCAAACUGCGAAUACCGGAGAAUGUUAUCACGGGAGACACACGGCGGGUGCUAACGUCCGUCGUGAAGAGGGAAACAACCCAGACCGCCAGCUAAGGUCCCAAAGUCAUGGUUAAGUGGGAAACGAUGUGGGAAGGCCCAGACAGCCAGGAUGUUGGCUUAGAAGCAGCCAUCAUUUAAAGAAAGCGUAAUAGCUCACUGGUCGAGUCGGCCUGCGCGGAAGAUGUAACGGGGCUAAACCAUG